GCGCAACCCUUAUCCUUUGUUGCCAGCGGUCCGGCCGGGAACUCAAAGGAGACUGCCAGUGAUAAACUGGAGGAAGGUGGGGAUGACGUCAAGUCAUCAUGGCCCUUACGACCAGGGCUACACACGUGCUACAAUGGCGCAUACAAAGAGAAGCGACCUCGCGAGAGCAAGCGGACCUCAUAAAGUGCGUCGUAGUCCGGAUUGGAGUCUGCAACUCGACUCCAUGAAGUCGGAAUCGCUAGUAAUCGUGGAUCAGAAUGCCACGGUGAAUACGUUCCCGGGCCUUGUACACACCGCCCGUCACACCAUGGGAGUGGGUUGCAAAAGAAGUAGGUAGCUUAACCUUCGGGAGGGCGCUUACCACUUUGUGAUUCAUGACUGGGGUGAAGUCGUAACAAGGUAACCGUAGGGGAACCUGCGGUUGGAUCAC
rnacentral:rRNA from 1 species